rnacentral:rRNA from 1 species
GAUGAACGCUGGCGGCGUGCCUAAUACAUGCAAGUCGAGCGAACAGACGAGGAGCUUGCUCCUCUGACGUUAGCGGCGGACGGGUGAGUAACACGUGGAUAACCUACUUAUAAGACUGGGAUAACUUCGGGAAACCGGAGCUAAUACUGGCUAAUAUAUAGAACCGCAUGGUUCAAUAGUGAAUGACGGCUUUGCUGUCACUUAUAGAUGGAUCCGCGCCGCAUUAGCUAGUUGGUAAGGUAACGGCUUACCAAGGCAACGAUGCGUAGCCGACCUGAGAGGAUGAUCAGCCACACUGGAACUGAGACACGGUCCAGACUCCUACGGGAGGCAGCAGUAGGGAAUCUUCCGCAAUGGGCGAAAGCCUGACGGAGCAACGCCGCGUGAGUGAUGAAGGUCUUCGGAUCGUAAAGCUCUUUUGUUAGGGAAGAACAAAUGUGUAAUUAACUAUGCACGUCUUGACGGUACCUAAUCAGAAAGCCACGGCUAACUACGUG